rnacentral:tRNA from 1 species
GCCUGGUUGGCUCAGCAGUUGAGCAUCUGCCUUUGGCUCAGGACGUGAUUCUGGAACUCUGGGAUAGAGUCCCACAUCAGGCU